rnacentral:piRNA from 1 species
UGUUGUUGUUUUGUUUGCUUUCAGUACAG